rnacentral:rRNA from 1 species
GGACGAACGCUGGCGGCGUGCUUAACACAUGCAAGUCACGGGGGCUCAGCAAUGAGGCAACCGGCGAACGGGUGCGUAACACGUGAGCAACCUACCGAUUUGAGGGGGAUAGCUGGGCCUAACGGCCAGGUAAUACCGCAUACGCUCGUAAGGCCACCUGGUCUAACGAGGAAACCUUCCGGGGCAGAAUCGAGGGGCUCGCGGCCUAUCAGCUAGUUGGCGAGGUCACGGCUCACCGAAGGCGACGACGGGUAGCUGGUCUGAGAGGAUGGCCAGCCACAUUGGGACUGAGAAACGGCCCAGACUCCUACGGGAGGCAGCAGUGGGGAAUCUUGCGCAAUGGACGAAAGUCUGAACGCAGCGACGCCGCGUGGGGAUGAAGGCUUUCGGG